rnacentral:rRNA from 1 species
AACGAACGCUGGCGGCAUGCCUAACACAUGCAAGUCGAACGAGACCUUCGGGUCUAGUGGCGCACGGGUGCGUAACGCGUGGGAACCUGCCCUUAGGUUCGGAAUAACUCCCCGAAAGGGGUGCUAAUACCGGAUAAUGUCUUCGGACCAAAGAUUUAUCGCCUUUGGAUGGGCCCGCGUUGGAUUAGCUAGUUGGUAGGGUAAAAGCCUACCAAGGCGACGAUCCAUAGCUGGUCUGAGAGGAUGAUCAGCCACACUGGGACUGAGACACGGCCCAGACUCCACGGGGAGGAAGAGGGGGGGAAUAUGGAAAAGGGGGGAAAGUCUUAACCCGAAAGUGCCGGGGGGGUGAAGAGGGCUUGGGGUUUGAAAAGUUUUUUCCCCGGGGAGAAAAAGGACAUGACGGGAGAAAUAAGCGCCGACUACCCCCGUC